CCUACGGGAGGCAGCAGUGAGGAAUAUUGGUCAAUGGCCGCAAGGCUGAACCAGCCAAGUCGCGUGAGGGACGACUGCCCUAUGGGUUGUAAACCUCUUUUAUAAGGGAAUAAUAAAUGCUACGUGUAGCAUGAUGCCUGUACCUUAUGAAUAAGCAUCGGCUAACUCCGUGCCAGCAGCCGCGGUAAUACGGAGGAUGCGAGCGUUAUCCGGAUUUAUUGGGUUUAAAGGGUUCGUAGGCCGGUUGUUAAGUUUGUUGUUAAAGCUUGGGGCUUCACCCUUAAUUUGCAAUUAAUACUGUCAGACUCGAGUUCAGACGAGGUAGGCGGAAUUAGUUAAGUAGCGGUGAAAUGCUUAGAUAUAACUUAGAACUCCGAUAGCGAAGGCAGCUUACCAGACUGCGACUGACACUGAAGCACGAGAGUGUGGGUAGCGAACAGGAUUAGAUACCCCUGUAGUC
rnacentral:rRNA from 1 species